CUGGCGGCGUGCCUAAUACAUGCAAGUSGAGCGAGCAGAACCAGCAGAUUUACUUCGGUAAUGACGCUGGGGACGCGAGCGGCGGAUGGGUGAGUAACACGUGGGGAACCUGCCCCAUAGUCUAGGAUACCACUUGGAAACAGGUGCUAAUACCGGAUAAUAAAGCAGAUCGCAUGAUCAGCUUAUAAAAGGCGGCGUAAGCUGUCGCUAUGGGAUGGCCCCGCGGUGCAUUAGCUAGUUGGUAAGGUAACGGCUUACCAAGGCAAUGAUGCAUAGCCGAGUUGAGAGACUGAACGGCCACAUUGGGACUGAGACACGGCCCAAACUCCUACGGGAGGCAGCAGUAGGGAAUCUUCCACAAUGGACGCAAGUCUGAUGGAGCAACGCCGCGUGAGUGAAGAAGGUUUUCGGAUCGUAAAGCUCUGUUGUUGGUGAAGAAGGAUAGAGGUAGUAACUGGCCUUUAUUUGACGGUAAUCAACCAGAAAGUCACGGCUAACUACGUGCCAGCAGCCGCGGUAAUACGUAGGUGGCAAGCGUUGUCCGGAUUUAUUGGGCGUAAAGCGAGCGCAGGCGGAAGAAUAAGUCUGAUGUGAAAGCCCUCGGCUUAACCGAGGAAUUGCAUCGGAAACUGUUUUUCUUGAGUGCAGAAGAGGAGAGUGGAACUCCAUGUGUAGCGGUGGAAUGCGUAGAUAUAUGGAAGAACACCAGUGGCGAAGGCGGCUCUCUGGUCUGCAACUGACGCUGAGGCUCGAAAGCAUGGGUAGCGAACAGGAUUAGAUACCCUGGUAGUCCAUGCCGUAAACGAUGAGUGCUAAGUGUUGGGAGGUUUCCGCCUCUCAGUGCUGCAGCUAACGCAUUAAGCACUCCGCCUGGGGAGUACGACCGCAAGGUUGAAACUCAAAGGAAUUGACGGGGGCCCGCACAAGCGGUGGAGCAUGUGGUUUAAUUCGAAGCAACGCGAAGAACCUUACCAGGUCUUGACAUCUAGUGCCAUCCUAAGAGAUUAGGAGUUCCCUUCGGGGACGCUAAGACAGGUGGUGCAUGGCUGUCGUCAGCUCGUGUCGUGAGAUGUUGGGUUAAGUCCCGCAACGAGCGCAACCCUUAUUAUUAGUUGCCAGCAUUAAGUUGGGCACUCUAAUGAGACUGCCGGUGACAAACCGGAGGAAGGUGGGGAUGACGUCAAGUCAUCAUGCCCCUUAUGACCUGGGCUACACACGUGCUACAAUGGGCAGUACAACGAGAAGCGAGCCUGCGAAGGCAAGCGAAUCUCUGAAAGCUGUUCUCAGUUCGGACUGCAGUCUGCAACUCGACUGCACGAAGCUGGAAUCGCUAGUAAUCGCGGAUCAGAACGCCGCGGUGAAUACGUUCCCGGGCCUUGUACACACCGCCCGUCACACCAUGGAAGUCUGCAAUGCCCAAAGCCGGUGGCCUAACCUUCGGGAAGGAGCCGUCUAAGGCAGGGCAGAUGACUGGGGUGAAGUCGUAACAAGGUAGCCGUAGGAGAA
rnacentral:rRNA from 1 species